rnacentral:rRNA from 1 species
ACGGGUGAGUAACACGUAUCCAACCUGCCGUCUACUCUUGGCCAGCCUUCUGAAAGGAAGAUUAAUCCAGGAUGGCAUCAUGAGUUCACAUGUCCGCAUGAUUAAAGGUAUUUCCGGUAGACGAUGGGGAUGCGUUCCAUUAGAUAGUAGGCGGGGUAACGGCCCACCUAGUCUACGAUGGAUAGGGGUUCUGAGAGGAAGGUCCCCCACAUUGGAACUGAGACACGGUCCAA